rnacentral:rRNA from 1 species
AUCGUACGGGAGGCAGCAGUCGGGAAUAUUGCACAAUGGAGGAAACUCUGAUGCAGUGACACCGCGUAUAGGAAGAAGGUCUUAGGAUUGUAAACUCCUUUCGCCCGGGACGAAGCCCACCUGGUGGGUGACGGUACCGUGGAGAAGAAGCACCGGCUAACUACGUGCCAGCAGCCGCGGUAAUCGAU